UUGAAAGGGAAACGAUUGAAGUCAGUCGUACCGACGGAAAAUCAACUUUUCGGGUGCCAAUCGUGGGUGACGUUGAGCCUCACGGUCUUCGUUGCUUGUGUUGUUGGUGCCUUUGGAGUGUACUUUUUCGUAUGGUAGGUCAACAUCGAUUUUGAUCGUCAUAAAAUGACGGGAGGAAUGUAGCUUCGGUCUCGGCUGAAGUGUUAUAGCCUCUGGUAGGUGUGACGUUUGGGAUUGAGGAUUGCAACGGAUACCUCUCGGGGCUACCUGUCUGGCCUCUGAUGAUUGCUAUGGUGCCGAAAGCUUGCUUACGGUCAUCAAAGUUGAUUGUCAAAAGGUUAGAACGGGUUAAAUUCGUUAAGGAUGUUGACGUA
rnacentral:rRNA from 1 species